AAAAACUCCUUCAUCUUUGACCCCCUACAUGUCCUAGUUCAAGAUACUAAAAUACCAAACCUUCAACACUAAUACUUAUUCUCUCAUUAUGUUAUUGUUCAUCAUCCACCUCCCUCUCCUUCUCCCAACCUCACGACACUUCAUUCCAUAGCAGCAAGCUUCAAAAUUUGUUUCUCUUUAAUCUGACCUCACACAUGUUUUUCUUUCAUAUUUAGUAGCAUAUGCCCCUCAAAGAACCACUAAAAGAAGAUAAAGAUCAAAUUUGGGAAUUUUCCAUAUGUCAAUACAUAGUAGAGGCAGAAAUAAUAGGAGCUAGGAGGAAUUCUUUAUGGUCG
rnacentral:lncRNA from 1 species